UUACGGCCAUAUCAUAUUGGAACAUCGGUUCUAAUACGAUCACCAAACUUAAGCAAGGUUGAGACUGGCCCGUAUCUAGAUGGGUGAUCGCUUGUGAAUACCAGGUGCUGUAA